rnacentral:rRNA from 1 species
UUAAUACCGGAUAGAUCAAAGAUACUGGAAUGUUCUCUGGUCUAAAGCUCCGGCGCCCAAGGAUGGGUCUGCGGCCUAUCAGGUAGUAGUGGGUGUAACGUACCUACUAGCCUGCGACGGGUACGGGUUGUGAGAGCAAGAUCCCGGAGAUGGAUUCUGAGACAUGAGUCCAGGCCCUACGGGGUGCAGCAGGCGCGAAACCUUUACACUGCGGGAAACCGCGAUAAGGGGACCCCGAGUGCCAGCACCUAGUGCUGGCUGUCCCGCUGUCCAAACAACAGCGGUUAGCAAGGGCCGGGCAAGACCGGUGCCAGCCGCCGCGGUAACACCGGCGGCCCGAGUGGUAGCCGCUAUUAUUGGGUUUAAAGGGUCCGUAGCCGGCCUGUUAAGUCUCUUGGGAAAUCUGGCGGCUCAAUCGUCAGGCGUUCA